UACGGAGGGGGCGAGCGUUAUUCGGAAUUAUUGGGCGUAAAGGGCGCGUAGGCGGCUUUGUAAGUCAAAGGUGAAAUCCCUCGGCUCAACUGAGGAACUGCCUUUGAAACUGCAAGGCUUGAGGCCGGGAGGGGGUAGCGGAAUUCCCAAUGUAGCGGUGAAAUGCGUAGAUAUUGGGAGGAACACCAGUGGCGAAGGCGGCUACCUGGACCGGUUCUGACGCUGAGGCGCGAAAGCGUGGGUAG
rnacentral:rRNA from 1 species